ensembl:rRNA 5S_rRNA 5S ribosomal RNA
GUCUACGGCCAUACCACCCUGAACGCGCCUCAUCUCGUGUGAUCUCGGAAGCUAAGCAGGGUCGGGCCUGUUUAGUACUUGGAUGGGAGACCGCCUGGGAAUACCGGGUGCUGUAGGCU